rnacentral:rRNA from 1 species
UACGAAGGGGACUAGCGUUGUUCGGAAUCACUGGGCGUAAAGCGCACGUAGGCGGAUGUGUCAGUCAGGGGUGAAAUCCCGGGGCUCAACCUCGGAACUGCCUUUGAUACAGCACGUCUCGAGUCCGGAAGAGGUGGGUGGAAUUCCUGGUGUAGCGGUGAAAUGCGCAGAUAUCAGGAAGAACACCCGUGGCGAAGGCGGCUCUCUGGGACGGUACUGACGCUGAGACGCGAAAGCGUGGGGAGCGAACAGG